rnacentral:rRNA from 1 species
AGUGAACGCUGGCGGUAGGCCUAAUACAUGCAAGUCGAACGGUAGCACAGUAAGAGCUUGCUCUUACGGGUGGCGAGUGGCGGACGGGUGAGGAAUACAUCGGAAUCUACUUUUUCUUGGGGGAUAACGUAGGGAAACUUACGCUAAUACCGCAUAUGACCUACGGGUGAAAGCAGUGGAUCUUCGGACCUUGCGCGAUUGAAUGAGCCGAUGUCGGAUUAGCUAGUUGGCGGGGUAAAGGCCCACCAAGGCGACGAUCCGUAGCUGGUCUGAGAGGAUGAUCAGCCACACUGGAACUGAGACACGGUCCAGACUCCUACGGGAGGCAGCAGUGGGGAAUAUUGGACAAUGGGCGCAAGCCUGAUCCAGCCAUACCGCGUGGGUGAAGAAGGCCUUCGGGUUGUAAAGCCCUUUUGUUGGGAAAGAAAAGCAGCAGGUUAAUACCCCGCUGUUCUGACGGUACCCAAAGAAUAAGCACCGGCUAACUUCGUG